rnacentral:rRNA from 1 species
AGGGCGGACGGUGGAUGCCUUGGCGGUAGGAGGCGAUGAAGGACGUGGUUAGCUGCGAAAAGCGUCGGGGAGCUGCUAAGCAAGCUUUGAUCCGGCGAUGUCCGAAUGGGGAAACCCGGCUGGGGUCAUGCCCAGUCAUCUUUCACUGAAUACAUAGGUGAAAGAGGCGAACCCGGGGAACUGAAACAUCUCAGUACCCGGAGGAAAGUAAAUCAAUUGAGACUCCCUGAGUAGCGGCGAGCGAAACGGGAUUAUGGCCAAACCGGCGGGAAGCAAUUCCUUCCGGGGUUGUGGGACUCCGAUGUGGGACUCUGAUGGAUAGCGGAAUGGUCUGGAAAGGCCGGCCGAAGAGGGUGAAAGCCCCGUAUGUGAAAUCUUGAAGAGCUCUAGGAGUAUCCCGAGUACCACGGGACACGAGAAAUCUUGUGGGAAUCUGGGGGGACCAUCCUCCAAGCCUAAGUACUACCUACCGACCGAUAGUGAACCAGUACCGUGAGGGAAAGGUGAAAAGCACCCCGUUGAGGGGAGUGAAAUAGACCUGAAACCGUUUGCCUACAUGCAGUAGGAGCUCUAUGGCGAUUCUUCGGAAUCGCAAUGAGUGACUGCGUACCUUUUGUUUAAUGGGUCCGCGAGUUAUUCCUCAGUAGCAAGGUUAAGCCGCCAGGUGUAGCCGCAGCGAAAGCGAGUCUGAAUAGGGCGUCUAGUUACUGGGGAUAGACCCGAAACCAAGUGAUCUAUCCAUGGCCAGGUUGAAGCUCAGGUAAGACUGAGUGGAGGACCGAACCGUAGUAGGUUGAAAACUACCCGGAUGAGCUGUGGAUAGGGGUGAAAGGCCAAUCAAACUUGGAGAUAGCUGGUUCUCCCCGAAAUAUAUUUAGGUAUAGCCUUGCGUUUAUACCACCGGAGGUAGAGCACUGACUGGGCUAGGGGGUCCUACCAGAUUACCGAACCCAAUCAAACUCCGAAUACCGGUGAGUACUGCGCAGGAGUCAGACUGCGGGUGAUAAGAUCCGUGGUCGAGAGGGAAAGAACCCAGACCGCCGGCUAAGGUCCCUAAAUCAUUGCUGAGUGGGAAAGGAAGUGAGAGCGCUUAGACAACCAGGAUGUUGGCUUAGAAGCAGCCACCAUUUAAAAAGUGCGUAACAGCUUACUGGUCUAGUGAAUUCGCGCCGAAAAUGUAACGGGGCUAAGCAAUGUACCGAAGCCGCGGGACUCAAUUCUCUUCGGAGUUUUGAGUCGGUAGGGGAGCGUUCCAUACACGUUGAAGGUCUACCGUAAGGAGGGCUGGAGAGUAUGGAAGUGAUGAUGCGGACAUGAGUAGCGAUAAACAGGGUGAGAAACCCUGUCGCCGUAAACCUAAGGGUUCCUGAGUCAAGCUAAUCUUCUCAGGGUUAGUCGGCCCCUAAGCCGAGGGCGAAAGCCGUAGGCGAUGGGAAUCGGGUUAAUAUUCCCGAACCACUAGAUAGCCGUUCGACCGAAGGGGGGACGGAGAAGGAUAGCUCAGCCCGUUAUUGGAUUCGGGUGAACGUCAAUAGGCGGGAAGUGUAGGCAAAUCCGCACUUCUAUCUAACGCUGAGGGACGGGACGGUGGCCAAUAUGGCCCGUAAGUGAGUGAUUCCAUGCUUCCUAGAAAAGCCUCGUAGGGAGGUUGUCUGGUGACCGUACCGCAAACCAACACAGGUAGGUGAGGCAGAGCAUGCCAAGGCGCUUGAGAUAACUCUGGUUAAGGAACUCGGCAAAAUGACACCCGUAACUUCGGGAGAAGGGUGUGCCUUUUCUGGUGAAGGACUUCGCGUCUGGAGCUGGGAGAGGUUGCAGAGACCAGGGGGUAGCGACUGUUUACUAAAAACACAGGACUCUGCGAAGUCGCAAGACGACGUAUAGGGUCUGACGCCUGCCCGGUGCCGGAAGGUUAAGGGGAACCUGUUAGCUCUUCGGAGCGAAGCAGCGAACCGAAGCCCCGGUAAACGGCGGCCGUAACUAUAACGGUCCUAAGGUAGCGAAAUUCCUUGUCGGGUAAGUUCCGACCUGCACGAAUGGCGUAACGACUUCCCCACUGUCUCAACCAGGGACUCAGCGAAAUUGAAUUGCCGGUGAAGAUGCCGGCGACCCGCGGCAGGACGGAAAGACCCCGUGCACCUUUACUACAGCUUCACAGUGAUUAUCGGUUCAAUACGUGUAGGAUAGCUGGGAGACUUUGAAAUGCGGGACGCUAGUUUCGGUGGAGUCAACCCUUGAAAUACCAGCCCUUGUCAAUUGCUGAUCUAACCCUGGGCCCGUGAAUCCGGGUCGGGGACACUGUGUGGUGGGUAGUUUGACUGGGGCGGUCGCCUCCUAAAGAGUAACGGAGGCGCGCGAAGGUUCCCUCAGGCUGUUUGGAAAUCAGCCGCAGAGUGUAAAGGCAGAAGGGAGCUUGACUGCGAGACCUACAAGUCGAGCAGGUGCGAAAGCAGGUCUUAGUGAUCCGGUGGCUCCGAAUGGAAGGGCCAUCGCUCAACGGAUAAAAGGUACGCCGGGGAUAACAGGCUUAUCUCCCCCAAGAGUUCACAUCGACGGGGAGGUUUGGCACCUCGAUGUCGGCUCGUCACAUCCUGGGGGUGAAGCAGCUCCCAAGGGUUCGGCUGUUCGCCGAUUAAAGUGGCACGCGAGCUGGGUUUAGAACGUCGUGAGACAGUUCGGUCCCUAUCCGCCGUGGGCGCAGGAGAUUUGAGAGGAUCUGUCCCUAGUACGAGAGGACCGGGAUGGACGAACCAAUGGUGGACCGGUUGUUGCGCCAGCAGCAUAGCCGGGUAGCUACGUUCGGAUCGGAUAACCGCUGAAAGCAUCUAAGUGGGAAGCCGGCCUCAAGACGAGAUCUCCCUGGGACUUCGGUCCCCUGAAGAGCACUCCAAGUCUAGGAGUUUGA